UUAGGUGGUUAUUGCGACGGGGUUCACCCCUUACCAUUCCGAACAGGGAAGUUAAGUCCGUCAGCGCCGAUGGUACUGCAUUCGUGGGAGAGUAGGUCACCGCCUUUU
rnacentral:rRNA from 1 species